UCCCUGAGGCCUCUCAAACAAAAAGCAACGUGUUGGAAUUGAAAAAGAUGGCCAGCUACUUAACCCAGUGUCACCGGAAUGUUGGCAGAAGAUUGGGCAACUUGCUGAAGAUUGGAUUGGGCAAUCAACGUGUUGCCGUGACAGUGCUAGUUCCUUGCCACUUCAAACCACCAAAAGCACUGGGGACAAGAUGGUUCUCAUGUUCUAGAUCUGUUGCUUCAUCAGCAGACUAUCUUCAGACGCUGAGUCCUGUCCCCACAAUGCUCUUCCAACCGGCUAUCCCUCAGCUGCCCAUACCCUCUGUGCGAGACACCUGCCAGCGUUACCUUGCUACUCAGCAUGUGUUUCUCAGUCCAAAAGAAUAUGCCGAGACACAGUCCCUAGUGGGAGAAUUCCAGAAGGGGGCAGGUGUUGACCUCAACAAUGAAUUGGUUGAACUGAACAAGACAAACACCCAUACAAGCUACAUUGCAGAUUUCUGGAUGGAUGUGUACCUCAGGUAUAGAGACUCGGUUGUUCUUAACUCAAGCCCGGCAUCCUUCAUCACCAAUGACCCCAGACCAGAGUAUAUGGACCAGACAACUCGAUCAACCAAUGUGACCGUCUCCAUACUGAGAUUCUUGAAGACACUGAGGGAUGACAAGCUUCUCCCAGAUGCUGUUCAUAGGAACCCUGCCAUCACUGACACGCAAGACUUCUGGAGUUCAUUCAGGACUCUCUCAUCCAAGGAGGCCUACCGACAUGCUCUAGAUAACAACGUGCAGCCCCUGGACAUGAGCCAGUUUUCUAGAAUCUUCAAUGCAUCUCGGAUACCUCGGCCCCACAGGGAUGAGUUGUUCAGAGAUGAAUCUCAGCAGCAUGUGCUGGUGAUAUCCAAUGGCCACAUGUACGUGUUUGAUGUCUUGGAUAUCAGCGGGAGUCUGGUUUCAGCACAGGAUAUCAGAGCCAAUCUUCAGUACAUUGUCAGCCAUUCCACCUCCUUACCACCACCAAAGUACCCCAUCGGCUACCUAACCACAGAACACCGUGAUACCUGGACACAGCUCCGUGAAAAGCUGCUGGCAGUGUGUCCAGGAAAUAAGGAGAGUCUGAGACUCAUUGACUCUGCCUUGUUCUGCCUGUGUCUUGAUGAUGACACGGAUGAUGAUAAGGAGCAGCUAGUCCGGAGAGGAUUGCAUGGAAAUGCUGCAAACAGGUGGUUUGACAAACCUUUCCAGCUAAUUGUAACUUCAAGUGGGCAGUUGCUGGUCAACAUGGAACACUCUUGGGGGGAUGGUGUAACCCUGAGGAGGAUGUUCUCGGAGGUGUUCCAAGACUCCCUGGACCGACCCGUCAUCUCACCGGGGGAUGCUACCGGUAGGGUAGACAGCUCAGAAAGAGUGACCAGGCUAGAGUUCAAACUUGACUCUGUGAUCUCCCGAGGCAUUGAGGUGGCCAAAGCUAACCACACGCUUGCUACCAGCCAGCUAAAUCUACAGUGCAUUCAGUACACAAAAUAUGGCAGCUCCUUCAUCAAGAAGUUUGGAGUGAGCCCUGAUGCUGUGGCGCAGCUGGCGUUGCAAAUGGCAUACCAUCGAGUUACUGGCCAGGUUGCAGCAACAUACGAGUCCUGCAGCACAGCCAUGUUCAAGCAAGGCCGCACAGAGACGAUCCGAUCAGCCACAGCUGAGACUAAAAGAUGCACUGACGCUUUCUACAAGAACUCUGGAGUCAGCUUAGCGGAGCAGAGAGCUCUGGUAAAGGCCUGCUCAGAUAAACACCGACUACUGUCUAAGGAGGCCACAGUGGAGGCUCUGUGUAUUUCAUGGAGACUAAGUGGUAGCCUCAGCAAAAUGCACGCUUACCUCAAGGUAGUGACAAAAUAGCGGUAGUCGCUACGCUCAAGCAACUGUCAGUGCAACCUCGCCAAGCACCGCACGCCAUGGAAUAGUGCUUACGGUCAAGGAUGGGACCGUCACCUCUUUGCCUUACGUGCCCUUGCCUCUUCAACCGGCAGACCCAUGCCAACAGUGUUCCAGGA
rnacentral:misc_RNA from 1 species